UACGUAGGGGGCAAGCGUUGUCCGGAUUUAUUGGGCGUAAAGAGCGUGUAGGUGGCCAGGUAGGUCGGUUGUGAAAACUAGAGGCUCAACCUCUAGACGUCGACCGAAACCAUCUGGCUAGAGUCCGGAAGAGGAGAGUGGAAUUCCUGGUGUAGCGGUGAAAUGCGCAGAUAUCAGGAAGAACACCCGUGGCGAAGGCGGCUCUCUGGGACGGUACUGACGCUGAGACGCAAAAGCGUGGGGAGCGAACAGG
rnacentral:rRNA from 1 species